CUGGAUCUUGGUAUGUAGUUGACAUUACUGUUUCUGUGCUGUUUCUAUUUUUAUCUUCUUACAGCUCGCUUUGAGGAUUUUGAACCAUCAGACACUAGAAUUCAGUACUUUUGGGAGGCCUUGAACAACUUUACUAAUGAGGAUCGUAGUCGCUUUCUGAGGUUUGUUACGGGGAGAAGCAGACUUCCUGCUCGAAUUUACAUCUAUCCUGAUAAAUUGGGUUCGGAGACCACUGAUGCCCUCCCUGAAUCGUCCACUUGCUCCAGCACGCUCUUUUUGCCCAACUAUGCCUCUGCCAAAGUUUGUGAAGAAAAAUUGCGUUACGCAGCUUAUAAUUGUGUGGCCAUUGAUACCGACAUGAGUCCAUGGGAAGACUGAAACCUGGAAGGAUGAUGGUUUUGCUGAUGGUGGUCUGAUUUUUGUCCUUGCUACCUGGAAGAAGCUCUUGCACUCUGUUCAUCCUGACCCACCUUCCACAAAGUGUAUAUGGGUGUACAUAUCUAGAAAAUAAAAUAUCAGAUGUGAACAUUA